rnacentral:rRNA from 1 species
GUGCCAGCCGCCGUGGUAAUACCGGCAGCUCAAGUGAUGUCCCAUAUUAUUGGGCCUAAAGCGUCCGUAGCUGGCCGACCAAGUCUCCCGGGAAAUCCACCCGCCCAACGGGUGGGCGUCCGGUAGAAACUGGCCGGCUUGGAACCGGAAGGCUCAGAGAGUACGUCCGGGGUAGGAGUGAAAUCCCGUAAUCCCGGACGGACUACCGAUGGCGAAACCACCUCAGGAGAACGGAUCCGACAGUGAGGGACGAAAGCCAGGGUCUCGAACCGGAUUAGAUACCUGUGUAGUCC